UGAGGAAUAUUGGUCAAUGGCCGGAAGGCUGAACCAGCCAAGUCGCGUGAGGGAAGACGGCCCUACGGGUUGUAAACCUCUUUUGCCGGGGAGCAAACCGUCCCAUGCGUGGGACGCCGAGAGUACCCGGAGAAAAAGCAUCGGCUAACUCCGUGCCAGCAGCCGCGGUAAUACGGAGGAUGCGAGCGUUAUCCGGAUUUAUUGGGUUUAAAGGGUGCGCAGGCGGGAAGCCAAGUCAGCGGUAAAACUUCGGGGCUCAACCCCGUUUAGCCGUUGAAACUGGUUUUCUUGAGUGGGCGAGAAGUGUGCGGAAUGCGUGGUGUAGCGGUGAAAUGCAUAGAUAUCACGCAGAACUCCGAUUGCGAAGGCAGCACACCGGCGCCCAACUGACGCUCAUGCACGAAAGCGUGGGUAUCGAACAGG
rnacentral:rRNA from 1 species